GGUAGGACCAAGCCUGACCAACGGUUCAUUUGAACUGAGGAAAGUCCGCCCACCUAAAAAGACCACUUACCUUAAGCUCUUGAAAGAGAGGGCAACUGCACAGAAACGGCACUUCCUUUGUCCGGUAUGAUGCCUUGAAUCUUCUGGCAACAGAAGCGAGAUAACAGGUUGACUUUGUUCAAAGGGAAAGUUGAAACGGCAGUCCUGGUUGGUGCAAGUCAUUUUUGACGCUUAGUAAAAUGUCAGGAAUCUCUGUUCCUUUAAGGGAAGGGAAACAAAAGGCGGCUUACUUGGUUCUACC
rnacentral:RNase_P_RNA from 1 species